rnacentral:rRNA from 1 species
AUGAACGCUGGCGGCGGCCUAACACAUGCAAGUCGAACGGUAACAUUUCUAGCUUGCUAGAAGAUGACGAGUGGCGGACGGGUGAGUAAUGCUUGGGAACUUGCCUUUGCGAGGGGGAUAACAGUUGGAAACGACUGCUAAUACCGCAUAAUGUCUUCGGACCAAACGGGGCUUCGGCUCCGGCGCAAAGAGAGGCCCAAGUGAGAUUAGCUAGUUGGUAAGGUAACGGCUUACCAAGGCGACGAUCUCUAGCUGUUCUGAGAGGAAGAUCAGCCACACUGGGACUGAGACACGGCCCAGACUCCUACGGGAGGCAGCAGUGGGGAAUAUUGCACAAUGGGGGAAACCCUGAUGCAGCCAUGCCGCGUGUGUGAAGAAGGCCUUCGGGUUGUAAAGCACUUUCAGUUGUGAGGAAAAGUUAGUGGUUAAUACCUGCUAGCCGUGACGUUAACAACAGAAGAAGCACCGGCUAAUUCCGUGCCAGCAGCCGCGGUAAUACGGAGGGUGC